UGAGGAAUAUUGGACAAUGGGUGAGAGCCUGAUCCAGCCAUCCCGCGUGAAGGAUGACGGUCCUAUGGAUUGUAAACUUCUUUUGUACAGGGAUAAACCUACUCUCGUGAGGGUAGCUGAAGGUACUGUACGAAUAAGCACCGGCUAACUCCGUGCCAGCAGCCGCGGUAAUACGGAGGGUGCAAGCGUUAUCCGGAUUUAUUGGGUUUAAAGGGUCCGUAGGCGGACUUGUAAGUCAGUGGUGAAAUCUCAUAGCUUAACUAUGAAAAUGCCAUUGAUACUGCAGGUCUUGAGUAAAUUUGAAGUGGCUGGAAUAAGUAGUGUAGCGGUGAAAUGCAUAGAUAUUACUUAGAACACCAAUUGCGAAGGCAGGUCACUAAGAUUUAACUGACGCUGAUGGACGAAAGCGUGGGGAGCGAACA
rnacentral:rRNA from 1 species